AAGUCUUUGAAGUCACAAACCACAGGUCUCCUCGUGCCAUUAUGGAGCAGUGUGACUUAUGUUUACUGGCAAGAGGGGCCGCCCCUUUCCUCCAGUUUCUUAGAUAUAUGCUCUGACUGCAGAGCUGCUGGGUUGUUGAUUUUCAGAAUGUUCAACUACUUGCGUGAGAUGUUUCAUUUUGGGCCUCAUUUGUGUGUGUGUUUGUGUGUGUGUGUGUGUGUGUGUGUGUCUGUUUCUGUGUGUGGUGCAUGCAGGCUAACCCAGCAUAUGCAGAUUGUCUAAAUCACACCAGUGGACUGUGGGCGAACAGCAAUUUGGUUGGCCAGGGUUGCAAAGUGAACAGUUAUACCCGUAGAACCUCCUCCAGUCAUGCAAGAAAAGAAGUCCCAUCUCCCGCGCGAGUCACGUCUGCCCCGUCAAAAAAGGAGCGUAUCUCCUUCCGUGACAACCCGGUUCACCUGAGCGGUGGCUGGGGAGGAGGCAAGAAAAGGGACAGAGUGCGCAAGUAAAAACACAAAGCCUCCUUCCAGAGGUCACCACUUUUCCUGCCCUGGCUCUGCAGCCUCUAAUAGAUGCUGUUGCAGCUUUCUUAUAUGUACUUCGAUGCAUUUCGCGUCAAAAGAUUAUUAAAAUAUGCGUUGGAAGA